UGAAGAAGAGCCAGUGUUUGAAUUAACUCUAAAUGAAAAACCACAUCUCUAUUUCUGCUGUGUUGAGGUUAUUUAUUGAUGUGUAAAAACAAGCUGGGUGUGAGACUGAGGAGGCUUCACUGGUGCUGAUGCCAUGAAUGGAGAAAGAUGCUGCUGGAUAAUUCAAGCAAGGGAGGAGUCUGUGCAGUGGCAAUUUUACCAUCUCUGUGAGGAUUUCUUGCAUCUGUUUUCUCUGUCUGCGACUUGUUCUCCCAUGGACCGUCCCAGGGCUGCUCCCACCUAUCACAGGUGCCUCACAGACCUCAUACAGGUCAUACUGGGGCUUGCCAUAGGCUGGGCCCUGUAGCUUUCCAUGGGCCCCAUGAG
rnacentral:lncRNA from 1 species